rfam:Folsomia candida strain VT population Fcan01_Sc003, whole genome shotgun sequence.
GUGCUUAAAUUAAUGAGUAAGGAAAAUAUCAAGUCUUGGUAAUGCUUGACUUAUAGUAAAAACUUACCAAUUUUUGAAAGGCAAUAGGUCGUCCCUGCCAGCCUUGUCGAAAGAUGGGGCAGGUGGGUGCAGCGAUCUGCCA